GACGAAGGGGGCUAGCGUUGUUCGGAAUUACUGGGCGUAAAGCGCACGUAGGCGGCCUUUCAAGUCAGAUGUGAAAGCCCCGGGCUUAACUCGGGAAAUGCAUUUGAUACUGUUGGGCUAGAGACCGGGAGAGGAUAGCGGAAUUCCCAGUGUAGAGGUGAAAUUCGUAGAUAUUGGGAAGAACACCAGUGGCGAAGGCGGCUAUCUGGACCGGUACUGACGCUGAGGUGCGAAAGCGUGGGGAGCAAAGCAGG
rnacentral:rRNA from 1 species